rnacentral:lncRNA from 1 species
UACUAUUUAAUCAUCGCAUUUGAUCGUGUGUAGGAUCUGAAAGGAGGAGCUGUGUUGAUAUUGAAUUCUGUUCUUUUUCGUCAACAAAAUUAUUGGCAAAAAUGGAGAAAGACAAUUCCAUUACAAUUUUGUAAGAACGUGGAAAAAUGGACCUAUAUACUUGAAUAUAAUACAAAUAGCCAAAAGAUGUUGAACCAAAAAAGUUACAUUGGGCAUUUAUAAUACAGUGAAAUACACUCACAUGAUAUGACACAAGGUAUUGAAACCUGAAAUUAUACUCUUGUAAACAAGUUCAUAUGAAUGGAGAAUUAUAUACGAAGGGUUGUGAGUCGCCCACAUCAUAUCUCCAUAAGUAAAUCCCUCAAGUAUACAUAGGAGCAAAUUGCUCUGUAUAAAUGUGAACACGGAAAAUUCCUGAAACGAAAGAGACAAGAAACGACGCGCACAAACAAAUAUUAAGUAUUUGAUGAUUUUGGGUUACAAUCUCUCUCAAAUUUGAUCCUCUGAUUCGAUCUCCGUAAGGUGUUGAUUGGUGGGUGUUUCGUUGAUCCAAGGGCCGUCGAGGCUUAAUCUUGGAUGAACAGUUGGAAGUUUCUUCAAAGGGCCGUGGGCUUGAUCUUUGAAGGUGGAUUUGAGCGGAUCUUCAAGGGCUUUUGGGCUUGAUCUUUGAAGAACAGUGAUGAACGGAUCUCCAAGGGCUUUUGGGCUUGAUCUUGAAGAACAGUGAUGAACGGAUCUUCAAGGGCUUUUGGGCUUGAUCUUGAAGAACGGUUGGAUGUGUGGAUUUUGUCGACGUUGUUGAUCCAAAGGGCCGUUGGGGCUUGAUCUUGGAUGAACGGAUGAUGAACGAUGGUGCUUUCUUCAAGGGCCGUCGGGCUUGAUCUUGAAUUGGUGGAUGAUUGUUGAUCCAAAGGGCCGUUGGGGCUUGAUCUUGGAAGAACGAUGAACGAAGAACGAAGAACGCUUUCUUCAAGGGCCGUCGGGGCUUGAUCUUGAAGGUGGAUGAUUGUUGAUCCAAGGGCCGUCGAGGCUUGAUCUUGGAAAACGAUGAACGAAGAACGAAGAACGCUUUCUUCAAGGGCCGUCGGGGCUUGAUCUUGAAGGUGGAUGAUUGUUGAUCCAAGGGCCGUCGAGGCUUGAUCUUGGAAGAACGAUGAACGAAGAACGAAGAACACUUUCUUGAUUCUUCGGGAACCUGGAUGCUUGAGAGCUUCGGAGUUUCAGAGCUUCAGAGCUUCAGAGCUUCAAGGUGUAAUAUCAAUUGGUUCCCAAAUGAAU